GCCUGAGUGGCUCAGUUAGUUAAGCGUCUGACUCUGGCUCAAGUCACGAUCUCGCGGUGCGUGGGUUCGAGGCCCGCCUCGGGCU
rnacentral:tRNA from 1 species